rnacentral:rRNA from 1 species
AGUGAACGCUGGCGGUAGGCCUAACACAUGCAAGUCGAACGGCAGCACAGUAAGAGCUUGCUCUUACGGGUGGCGAGUGGCGGACGGGUGAGGAAUACAUCGUAAUCUACUUUUUCGUGGGGGUUAACGUAGGGAAACUUACGCUAAUACCGCAUACGACCUACGGGUGAAAGCAGGGGAUCUUCGGACCUUGCGCGAUUGAAUGAGCCGAUGUCGGAUUAGCUAGUUGGCGGGGUAAAGGCCCACCAAGGGGACGAUCCGUAGCUGGUCUGAGAGGAUGGUCAGCCACCCUGGAACUGAGACACGGUCCAGACUCCUACGGGAGGCAGCAGUGGGGAAUAUUGGACAAUGGGCGCAAGCCUGAUCCAGCCAUACCGCGUGGGUGAAGAAGGCCUUCGGGUUGUAAAGCCCUUUUGUUGGGAAAGAAACGCAGCAGGUUAAUACCCCGCUGUUCUGACGGUACCCAAAGAAUAAGCACCGGCUAACUUCGUG